rfam:Paenibacillus sp. oral taxon 786 str. D14 genomic scaffold supercont1.31, whole genome shotgun sequence.
GAGGCGGUAUCGGCAUCGUUCUGAACUGCACUCCGGUUGCUUGUCGGAGGUAUGAAUGUGGUGAAAGUUCAAACCGUCGGCCGACUUUUUGAACGACCACAAAUCAAGUUGCGUUGGAUUCUGCUCUGAGCCGAAAGAGGACCGAGACAGAAGA